rnacentral:rRNA from 1 species
GGUCAGGCGGGACUACCCGCUGAGUUUAAGCA